GAUGAACGCUAGCGGGAGGCCUAACACAUGCAAGCCGAGCGGUAUUGUUUCUUCGGAAAUGAGAGAGCGGCGUACGGGUGCGGAACACGUGUGCAACCUGCCUUUAUCUGGGGGAUAGCCUUUCGAAAGGAAGAUUAAUACUCCAUAAUAUAUUGAACGGCAUCGUUUAAUAUUGAAAGCUCCGGCGGAUAGAGAUGGGCACGCGCAAGAUUAGCUAGUUGGUGAGGUAACGGCUCACCAAGGCGAUGAUCUUUAGGGGGCCUGAGAGGGUGAUCCCCCACACUGGUACUGAGACACGGACCAGACUCCUACGGGAGGCAGCAGUGAGGAAUAUUGGUCAAUGGGUGCAAGCCUGAACCAGCCAUCCCGCGUGAAGGACGACUGCCCUAUGGGUUGUAAACUUCUUUUGUAUAGGGAUAAACCUACCCUCGUGAGGGUAGCUGAAGGUACUAUACGAAUAAGCACCGGCUAACUCCGUGCCAGCAGCCGCGGUAAUACGGAGGGUGCAAGCGUUAUCCGGAUUUAUUGGGUUUAAAGGGUCCGUAGGCGGACUUAUAAGUCAGUGGUGAAAGCCUGUCGCUUAACGAUAGAACUGCCAUUGAUACUGUAAGUCUUGAGUAUAUUUGAGGUAGCUGGAAUAAGUAGUGUAGCGGUGAAAUGCAUAGAUAUUACUUAGAACACCAAUUGCGAAGGCAGGUUACCAAGAUAUAACUGACGCUGAGGGACGAAAGCGUGGGGAGCGAACAGGAUUAGAUACCCUGGUAGUCCACGCCGUAAACGAUGCUAACUCGUUUUUGGGCUUUAGGGUUCAGAGACCAAGCGAAAGUGAUAAGUUAGCCACCUGGGGAGUACGCUCGCAAGAGUGAAACCCAAAGGAAUUGACGGGGGCCCGCACAAGCGGUGGAUUAUGUGGUUUAAUUCGAUGAUACGCGAGGAACCUUACCAAGACUUAAAUGGGAAUUGACAGCUUUAGAAAUAGAGCUUUCUUCGGACAAUUUUCAAGGUGCUGCAUGGUUGUCGUCAGCUCGUGCCGUGAGGUGUUAGGUUAAGUCCUGCAACGAGCGCAACCCCUGUCACUAGUUGCCAUCAUUCAGUUGGGGACUCUAGUGAGACUGCCUACGCAAGUAGAGAGGAAGGUGGGGAUGACGUCAAAUCAUCACAGCCCUUACGUCUUGGGCCACACACGUAAUACAAUGGCCGGUACAGAGGGCAGCCACACAGCGAUGUGAUGCAAAUCUCGAAAGCCGGUCUCAGUUCGGAUUGGAGUCUGCAACUCGACUCUAUGAAGCUGGAAUCGCUAGUAAUCGCGCAUCAGCCAUGGCGCGGUGAAUACGUUCCCGGGCCU
rnacentral:rRNA from 1 species